rnacentral:lncRNA from 1 species
AUCAUCACUCUCCUCCAACUUUAUUUUGUAUGAAAUCCUCUCCGUCAUGGUUUCGUCGAAAUCUGUCCCCCCAACUACGCUGUAUCCAUAUUUCUUCUCAGCCUCGUCGAUUUCAUCAACUUUGAGCACCACAUUCUUCGAGAUUAUACCCUCUACAAAAAUAACAAUCAUUAAGUAAAUAUAAAAAAUAAAAAAAAAAUCUGAAAAGUUGAAAAGUUAAUGUAUCUGAUGGACGGACCGACCGACCUUGAGGUUUCUUAAUUACGUUGAGGAGGGUACCAGGGCUUCCAUCUCCUUGAAGGGUUUGAACUCUCAAGAUGAUCUGAUCCAGCUUUGGGAUGACAUGAAAAGCAUUUCUUUUAACAUCUCUGAAGAGUUUAUCCAGAGGGACAAAAGUUAGGCGUUCCACCUGGAAACUAUGAACAAAGGCCAUGAUUUGAGUGAGGAUGAUGAUGAUGAUUAAUGGAGAAUGAGUAUGAGUAAGAGUAAGAGAGGUAUCCCAUAUUUAUUUAUUUAUAAUUAUAUAGAUAGACAAAGAUGGAGUGUACAGGUUGGAUUAGGUCAAAAUUGUCAACAUGCCACUUCUUUUUCUUAAUGUAAGUAACAUUUCUUCUACCUCUUUUCCUCUUCGAUCACGCGGCUCAUCAUUACUCCAAACGCGUAAA